UUCUACUGACCAUGGACUUGGGACGGCAAUCAGUGAGCAAUAUAACUCAAACCAGAAACUGAAGGAAAGAGAUUUUGAGCUUGAGGCCACCAAAACCAAGAGGAUCCUGAUCGGUUUCAACUUGGAUAAUUACCCUCGCAUUACAUGUAUUAUCUUAUCAUUUAUAGCCAAUGUUGGCUUUGUUCCAGUCAUGGCAAAUUCAGUAUCGUUUGUUUGGCAACUCUGCUGUACUAUUUGCAAACAUACCUUUUUUGAAUGUAGCUUUCUGUUGUCUCUA